GGCCAAAAAAAAAAUAUGUGGGUUUCCGGUUUCUUCUUAUAAAAACUUAGGUAGGGUAGGUCGGUCUUAACUUUUUUUUUUAAACUUUUUUUUUAAUUUUCCGAACAACCGGACGCCAUUUUGUUUAGUCAGUGCUUCCACAUCCAAAGAUAAAUUUCCUUAAUAUUGCCUCAAAUUUCAAUUUUCCACAAACUUUUUCCUCUAAGUGGAAACACUUACAAGCAUGAUCCAAUAAAAAAGUUUAGGGUCGGGAUUUCGGCGUCCAAAAGCUAGGUAGGGUCGGGAAACCGGAAACCCACAUAUUUUUUUUUUUGGCCCUAUUGUUCAUAAAGUGUAUUUUCGAUUUUGUGUAUUUUAAAGAUUGGUAGUGAUGUUAUUUUUGUCAAGCUAACAUCAACAUUAUUCUGAACAUCCACUCCUUUCAAUGAGAGUGACUGCUUAGUAUAAUUAGUUCGAUGGCAAUGCAUAUGAAGUUUUUACGAGUUUUGGGUACUGUAUUUACUAUUGGUGAACGGC